UACGGAGGGUGCAAGCGUUGUCCGGAAUCACUGGGCGUAAAGGGCGCGUAGGCGGCUCAUGAAGGCUGUGGUGAAAGUCCGGGGCUCAACCUCGGAUCGGCCGUGGCGACUCGUGGGCUGGAGCACUGUAGAGGCGGGUGGAAUUCCGGGUGUAGCGGUGGAAUGCGUAGAGAUCCGGAAGAACACCAGUGGCGAAGGCGGCCCGCUGGGCAGUGGCUGACGCUGAUGCGCGACAGCGUGGGGAGCAAACAGG
rnacentral:rRNA from 1 species